rnacentral:rRNA from 1 species
UAAAUUGUUCAUUAAUUGUGAACUGGAAUGAAGGAAAAAAUGGUUUAAAUCUGUCUUUAAGUUUAUAAAUUGAAUUUAAAACUUUUGUAAAAAUACAAAAAUGUUUUUUAGGGACAAGAAGACCCUAUAAAGCUUUUGCUAUUUUUACUAUGUUUAUGGAAAAAAAGAGUUUAAUUGGGGCAAUGAUUUAUAAAUAAAAAAUAUAAAUUUAAUUUGUGGUAAGAAUAUAUAUAUAUUAUAAUUUUGAUCCAUUAUUAAUGAAAAAUGAUAAAGUUACUUUAGGGAUAACAGGAUAAUUUUUGUUAGAAAGAUCUUAUUGAUAACAAAGUUUAUUACCUCGAUGUUGAAUUAAUUUAACUUAAUGGUGAAGUAACUUUUUGAGUUUGACUGUUCGUCAGUUAAAUAAUUACAUGAUCUGAGUUC